CCUACGGGGUGCAGCAGUGGGGAAUAUUGGACAAUGGGCGAAAGCCUGAUCCAGCCAUGCCGCGUGUGUGAAGAAGGCCUUCGGGUUGUAAAGCACUUUCAGUGGGGAAGAAAGCCUUGGGGCUAAUACCCUCGAGGAAGGACAUCACCCACAGAAGAAGCACCAGCUAACUCCGUGCCAGCAGCCGCGGUAAUACGGAGGGUGCGAGCGUUAAUCGGAAUUACUGGGCGUAAAGCGCGCGUAGGCGGUCUGAUAAGCCGGUUGUGAAAGCCCCGGGCUCAACCUGGGAACGGCAUCCGGAACUGUCAGGCUAGAGUGCAGGAGAGGAAGGUAGAAUUCCCGGUGUAGCGGUGAAAUGCGUAGAGAUCGGGAGGAAUACCAGUGGCGAAGGCGGCCUUCUGGACUGACACUGACGCUGAGGUGCGAAAGCGUGGGUAGCAAACAGGAUUAGAUACCCCUGUAGUC
rnacentral:rRNA from 1 species